rnacentral:rRNA from 1 species
UACGUAGGGUGCAAGCGUUGUCCGGAAUUAUUGGGCGUAAAGAGCUUGUAGGCGGUUUGUCGCGUCUGCUGUGAAAUUUCGGGGCUCAACCCCGAACUUGCAGUGGGUACGGGCAGACUAGAGUGCGGUAGGGGAGACUGGAAUUCCUGGUGUAGCGGUGAAAUGCGCAGAUAAUCAGGAGGAACACCGAUGGCGAAGGCAGCUCGCUGGGACGGUACUGACGCUGAGGCGCGAAAGCGUGGGGAGCGAACAGG